rnacentral:rRNA from 1 species
GCAGUCGCCACGGUAAUACGGAGGGUGCAAGCGUUAAUCGGAAUUACUGGGCGUAAAGCGCACGCAGGCGGUCUGUCAAGUCAGAUGUGAAAUCCCCGGGCUUAACCUGGGAACUGCAUUUGAAACUGGCAGGCUAGAGUCUUGUAGAGGGGGGUAGAAUUCCAGGUGUAGCGGUGAAAUGCGUAGAGAUCUGGAGGAAUACCGGUGGCGAAGGCGGCCCCCUGGACAAAGACUGACGCUCAGGUGCGAAAGCGUGGGGAGCAAACAGGAUUAGAUACCCCUGUAGUCCCUGUCUCUUAUAC